rnacentral:rRNA from 1 species
AACGAACGCUGGCGGCAUGCCUAACACAUGCAAGUCGAACGAGACCUUCGGGUCUAGUGGCGCACGGGUGCGUAACGCGUGGGAACCUGCCCUUAGGUUCGGAAUAACUCCCCGAAAGGGGUGCUAAUACCGGAUAAUGUCUUCGGACCAAAGAUUUAUCGCCUUUGGAUGGGCCCGCGUUGGAUUAGCUAGUUGGUAGGGUAAAAGCCUACCAAGGCGACGAUCCAUAGCUGGUCUGAGAGGAUGAUCAGCCACACUGGGACUGAGACACGGCCCAGACUCCUACGGGAGGCAGCUGUGGGGAAUAUUGGACAAUGGGCGAAAGCCUGAUCCAGCAAUGCCGCGUGAGUGAUGAAGGCCUUAGGGUUGUAAAGCUCUUUUACCCGGGAUGAUAAUGACAGUACCGGGAGAAUAAGCUCCGGCUAACUCCGUG